AAUAACAGGUCUGUGAUCCCUUAGAUGUUCGGGGCCGCACGCGCGCUACACUGACCGGAUCAGCGUGUGCUCUCCUUGGCCGACAGGUCCGGGAAACCCGUUGAACCCCGGUCGUGCUAGGGAUAGGGAAUUGCAAUUAUUUCCCUUGAACGAGGAAUUCCCAGUAAGCGCGAGUCAUUAGCUCGCGUUGAUUACGUCCCUGCCCUUUGUACACACCGCCCGUCGCUACUACCGAUUGAAUGGUUUAGUGAGGUCCUCCGAUUGGACCCGGUCCGGGCGGCGACGUCCGAGCCGGCGUCCGAGAAGACGAUCUAACUUGAUCAUUUAGAGGAAGUAAAAGUCGUAACAAGGUUUCCGUAGGUGAACCUGCGGAAGGAUCAUUA
rnacentral:ncRNA from 1 species